rnacentral:rRNA from 1 species
CAGCCGCCGCGGUAAUACGAAGGGGGCUAGCGUUGUUCGGAUUUACUGGGCGUAAAGCGCACGUAGGCGGAUCGAUCAGUCAGGGGUGAAAUCCCAGAGCUCAACUCUGGAACUGCCUUUGAUACUGUCGAUCUGGAGUAUGGAAGAGGUGAGUGGAAUUCCGAGUGUAGAGGUGAAAUUCGUAGAUAUUCGGAGGAACACCAGUGGCGAAGGCGGCUCACUGGUCCAUUACUGACGCUGAGGUGCGAAAGCGUGGGGAGCAAACAGGAUUAGAGACCCGCGUAGUCCCUGUCUCUUAUAC